UACAGAGACUGCAAGCGUUAUUCGGAUUCACUGGGCGUAAAGGGUGCGCAGGCGGCCGUGUGUGUGAGGCGUGAAAGCCCAGGGCUUAACCCUGGAAUUGCACCUCAAACUACAUGGCUAGAGCAUUGGAGAGGGAAGCGGAAUUCACGGUGUAGCAGUGAAAUGCGUAGAUAUCGUGAGGAACACCAGAGGCGAAGGCGGCUUCCUGGACAAUUGCUGACGCUCAGGCACGAAAGCGUGGGGAGCAAAAGGG
rnacentral:rRNA from 1 species